GAUACAUCCAGGCGACAAAGGCCAGGGCUCCUGUUACUAUAAGAACUCCUGCAAGAGUGAAUGUGAAUUGUGGCGCUCCCAGCUAUUCUGCUCCUGUUUCCAUCAGCCGCUUCCCUGAGGGGCUCAAGAGGCUGUGAUAAAAGCCAAAGUACCAAGGCAAAGAACAAAUGUCACAAGGUACUUUGCUAGAACCUGUGAUGUGCCUGGUACUGGGCUAGGUGCUGAGGAUAUGACCAUGUGGAGAGAAAACAAGUCCCUAAUGUCUUGGAGUCCAAGCAAAGGAGAGAUACUACACAUGUAUACAAACAAGACAAAAACAUAUUUAGAGCUGGGCUAACCACAAACCAUCACAGGAAACCCACACAGGACAAGAACUCUACUAGAACCAAGGAUUGGUCCGUCUGCUGUGUAUGAAGACAGUAAAAUGACAUAAUUUAAAUAGUGCCGUAGUAGUAGUGAAGUAAUUGCAUCCAUGAGGGAAAGGCCAAGACCAUCACUGAAGCACUGCCUGCUGGAUUCUUUAUAAAAGUAUGGAGAAGAAGACAGAUAUUAAAAUCGUAUAAUAACAAUUAUGAUAUCAUACUUACCACCUACUGUGCAUUAUGCUAAGCAUUUUAUCUUACUUUUAAUCCUCACAACAACCCUGCGUGGAGGAUGAGAUGUGGGAGACUAGCAACAAAAAGCCCACGUUCAAAACAGCCUUCAGCUUGUGGUCAUACACAAACUCCCAAGUCUCCGCAGUCACCACCAGGCAAGUCAUGCUGAGCAUCUCAGAAAAUAGAGGCACAUUCAUUACACACACAGCAGAAACCCAGCCUGCCUCAUGGGCUCAGCCCUGUUUUUGACUUUCUUCCUGGGAACUUUCCUCAGAAACAGCUUUGGAUG
rnacentral:lncRNA from 1 species